UGAACGCUGGCGGUAUGCCUUACACAUGCAAGUCGUACGGGAGUUUUUAACUCAAGUGGCGGACGGGUGAGUAACACGUAAGAAUUUACCUCUAGGAGGGGGACAACAACUGGAAACGGUUGCUAAUACCCCAUAUGCUUUCAAAUAGUGAAAUGGAUUUUUCCGCCUAGAGAGAAGCUUGCGGCUGAUUAGCUUGUUGGUGAGGUAAUGGCUCACCAAGGCGACGAUCAGUAUCUGGUUUGAGAGGACGAUCAGACACACUGGAACUGAGACACGGUCCAGACUCCUACGGGAGGCAGCAGUGGGGAAUUUUCCGCAAUGGGCGAAAGCCUGACGGAGCAAUACCGCGUGAGGGAUGACGGCCUAUGGGUUGUAAACCUCUUUUUUCAGGGAGGAAUAAAAUGACGUGUACCUGAAGAAUAAGCAUCGGCUAACUCC
rnacentral:rRNA from 1 species